GCCUGCCCUUCUGUUGCUGCUGACUUCAUCCUCCUCCUCAACAAGCACAGCAUUUUGCUUCCACGCCGAGUUAAAUUUGCUCUAAUUAGAAGAUUUGAUGCCAAAUCAGAAAAGCAAUCAGGAUGAGGCGACCCUGCUGAAGCUAGAAAUGGAUGAGCAACCUAAGUGUGACGUUUUAGAGGAACAAAUGGAGGACAAACCGGAUUUUCAGAUCAAACUGUCGGCUGAUGGAGCAUCGCGUGCACAGACCAGCUUUGCAGUACUGUACAUCCCUGCUGCUUUCCUCCAUUGUUGCUGCUGCCUCCAUGGGGCGGCUUUCAUGUUGGAGUUCAGUCAAGCGA